GGCUAUAAUGGCAAGACCGCGAAUUGAGGGUGAUAGAAGCGCUGACAAUGCUACGAGAUUUGGAUGAAAUAGAGUCAGAUGGAGGGGAGGAACGUGAUGCUGAGAUCGACUAUGAUGACGAAUGGGGGAAUUCUUCAAUAGAUUCCGAUGCUGGCUACGAUUCUGAUUAACGAUGCCCAGCGUGCAGGUGUCAACAACUCAGAUGGAGGGAGAGGAGAAGGGGAAGGACGGCACGGUUUGGAUAAAACAGCCAGGCGAGAGUAGACAACACGUGGGACAUGUCUGUGGAUGAGCUGGAAGCGUUCAUUGCGUUCCUAUAUGUCCGAGGACAGUACGUAGGAAUGAACACGCCUUUGGAGAGCUUCUGGAACGAAAAAUAUGGGGCGAUUUUUUUCCCGAGACACUAUGCCCACGGAACCGCUAUAGAGAGAUCGUGCGAUACCUGUGCAAGAGAGACCAGACGCAUGCGCCUGGAAACAGACAAAUUCGCCCUGGUAUCAGAUGUUUGGGACGCGUUUGUACAGAAUGUGUUUCCUCUUACAAGCCAGGAGUGAACAUUUCCGUGGAGGAGCAAUGGUUCCCCGCAAAAGCUAAGUGCACCUUUACGCAGUACAUUCCCUACAAGCAAGACACGUGGGGCAUGAAGUUUCGGUUGGCAGCUGACGUCGACAGCAAGUACGUGCUGAAUGUCUUUCCAUAUCUGGGGAAAGGUGAAUCUCAGCGUCCUGAAAUUGUGGUGAUGAGGCUUGUAGACCUUACCUUGGCGAGGGUAGGAAUGUAAACACAGACGAGAUCUUCACAUCACUGCCAUUGGCAAAUAAGUUGAUUGACAAGAACACAAGCUUAGUCGGGGUUAUGAAAGUGAGCCGGGGGCUGCUUCUCUCUGUGAGCAACCAGGCACAGGCAGAGCUGUUCUCCACAACGGCAUUGAAGCACGACAAAGCAACACGGUUUACAGAUGUAAGCCAAGAGAAAACGUUGGCGUGGAUAAGAUGGCCAGACAGUUCACGGUGAAAGGGGGUACUCGCCGCUGCCUGUUGCCGUAUUCUACAACCUGCUUGACCUGGCUGCUAUCAACGCGCACGCUUUGUUCACCCUGUGCACCGGUAAGACAACCCCGAGGAGAGAUUUCAUCAUGUAGUUGGCAUUGGAGCUUCGUGAGAAUCACAUGAGCGCCAGGGGCAAGGCGGCAGCGGACGAUGUCCCAAAUAACGCACCACCGCUCUGGGAGAAGAAGAGACAGUGCCAGAUGCACGGAUGCAUGCGGAACAAAAACUGCGACUUCUGCGGGACCUGCACGCGAUUUGUCUGCGGAAAGUGCUCAUUCCGGAAUAAAGAUUUGUCGAAGAUUUGUGUUGACUGUCAUACCAUGUUACUGUAAGAGCUUAAGGAAUAACGGCUGCUAUGCAUAAAGGCGUACAUGCCCGAGAGAGGCCACAACGAGUUCAUUAAUGACUGACGCCAGUACAGGCUAUUUAUAGACUGAUGCUUGUUAUAUUAUUUUAUAAUACCGUUAUUGGUUUACAUUUGCUCGUUGUACACUUUUUUUUAGCUGACUCUAGGCCCAUUUAGCCCUAUUGACAGUGCGUAUUUUGGAUACACCUAUAGCCUACUAGGUAGACUACUUAGACUAACAUAGGAACGGCUGGUAUAAAAAGAAGAUGCUUCUGAAUUAAAUGACUGAGUGUGAUUUCUGUCUUGUUCUUUUCGUUAAAAUCUACGAAUAAAAUGGAAUUACCAUUUGCA